rnacentral:rRNA from 1 species
CCUACGGGGGGCAGCAGUGAGGAAUAUUGGUCAAUGGGCGAGAGCCUGAACCAGCCAAGUCGCGUGAGGGAGUACUGCCCUAUGGGUUGUAAACCUCUUUUGUCGGGGAGCAAAAGCCGGACGUGUCCGGCUGUGAGAGUACCCGAAGAAAAAGCAUCGGCUAACUCCGUGCCAGCAGCCGCGGUAAUACGGAGGAUGCGAGCGUUCUCCGGAUUUAUUGGGUUUAAAGGGUGCGCAGGCGGAUUUUUAAGUCAGCGGUAAAAUCGUGGGGCUCAACCCCAUCCAGCCGUUGAAACUGGGGAUCUAGAGUGUGCGAGAGGUAUGCGGAAUGCGUGGUGUAGCGGUGAAAUGCAUAGAUAUCACGCAGAACCCCGAUUGCGAAGGCAGCAUACCGGUGCACAACUGACGCUCAGGCACGAAAGCGUGGGUAUCGAACAGGAUUAGAUACCCCGGUAGUC